UACGGAGGUCCCAAGCGUUGUUCGGAUUCAUUGGGCGUAAAGGGUGCGUAGGUGGCGCUGUAAGUCGGGUGUGAAAUUUCGGAGCUUAACUCCGAAACUGCAUUCGAUACUGCGGUGCUUGAGGACUGGAGAGGAGACUGGAAUUCAUGGUGUAGCAGUGAAAUGCGUAGAGAUCAUGAGGAAGACCAGUGGCGAAGGCGGGUCUCUGGACAGUUACUGACACUGAGGCACGAAGGCCAGGGGAGCAAACGGG
rnacentral:rRNA from 1 species